UAGAUCAAAGCUGAAUUAGCACUUAGCUGUUAACUAAGAGGUUGUAGGUGAAAUAUCUACUGAUCUAG
rnacentral:tRNA from 2 species